rfam:Schistosoma rodhaini strain Burundi genome assembly, scaffold: SROB_scaffold0000001
AUCCAGCUGAAGAGUCCUAAAUAGGACGAAACGAGCAUGCUACAU